GCCAUUUCUUGAGUACGGCUUCUCGAGGGUAAGAGACUGCUGUUCAAGCUGAAGUCGCCUGAUUCACACUCUGACAGAUACACGUGGAGUGGAAGCACUGACUACUCAUUGCCUAGCGAUGGAUUAGUUUUGGCGAGUGAAAUCAUGCCACCUGGGAACUCAUUUGGGUGUGGAAAAUAUGGAAUUAUCUUGGCUCGGACAGACUGAGCAUAGAGUUGAUGCAAUUCAAUGUUCGACCAAUUGUCUAUCAGUAAGAAGUACAAAAAUGCUAAUGCUACUCAAAUACAUGUGAGAGGCUGGCUAGACGAGACUAGCUAAAUGACGUAUAUCUGAAUUAGAAUAUAUUGAUAUACAUCUGAAUUAGAGAUGAAACUCAACAUUUCGCAAUAGAAUCGGAUGCUUUUGUG